CCGCGUGUGUGAAGAAGGCCUGAGGGUUGUAAAGCACUUUCAAUAGGAAGGAAUACCUAUCGGUUAAUACCCGGUAGACUGACAUUACCUAUACAAGAAGCACCGGCUAACUCCGUGCCAGCAGCCGCGGUAAUACGGAGGGUGCAAGCGUUAAUCGGAAUUACUGGGCGUAAAGCGUGCGUAGGCGGUUAUUUAAGUCAGAUGUGAAAGCCCUGGGCUUAACCUGGGAACUGCAUUUGAUACUGGAUGACUAGAGUUGAGUAGAGGAGAGUGGAAUUUCAGGUGUAGCGGUGAAAUGCGUAGAGAUCUGAAGGAACACCAGUGGCGAAGGCGGCUCUCUGGACUCAAACUGACGCUGAGGUACGAAAGCGUGGGUAGCAAACAGGAUUAGAUACCCUGGUAGUCCACGCCGUAAACGAUGUCAACUAACCGUUGGGUUCUUUAAGAACUUAGUGGUGGAGCUAACGUAUUAAGUUGACCGCCUGGGGAGUACGGCCGCAAGGCUAAAACUCAAAUGAAUUGACGGGGGCCCGCACAAGCGGUGGAGCAUGUGGUUUAAUUCGAUGCAACGCGAAGAACCUUACU
rnacentral:rRNA from 1 species